rnacentral:rRNA from 1 species
CAGUAGCCGCGGGAAUACGUAGGGCGCAAGCGUUAUCCGGAAUUAUUGGGCGUAAAGAGCUCGUAGGCGGUUUGUCGCGUCUGCCGUGAAAGUCCGGGGCUCAACCCCGGAUCUGCGGUGGGUACGGGCAGACUAGAGUGAUGUAGGGGAGACUGGAAUUCCUGGUGUAGCGGUGAAAUGCGCAGAUAUCAGGAGGAACACCGAUGGCGAAGGCAGGUCUCUGGGCACUAACUGACGCUGAGGAGCGAAAGCAUGGGGAGCGAACAGGAUUAGAUACCCCGGUAGUCCCUGUCUCUUAUAA